rnacentral:rRNA from 1 species
GACAGAGGGUGCAAACGUUGUUCGGAAUUACUGGGCGUAAAGGGCUCGUAGGUGGCCAACUAAGUCAGACGUGAAAUCCCUCGGCUUAACCGGGGAACUGCGUCUGAUACUGGAUGGCUUGAGUUUGGGAGAGGGAUGCGGAAUUCCAGGUGUAGCGGUGAAAUGCGUAGAUAUCUGGAGGAACACCGGUGGCGAAGGCGGCAUCCUGGACCAACACUGACACUGAGGAGCGAAAGCGUGGGUAGCAAACAGG